rnacentral:piRNA from 1 species
UGGGUUUUUAGUACCUGGCCUGGGUCAUU